rnacentral:lncRNA from 1 species
GGGGUAGGAUGGGCUCGAUGCUUGCCGGCGUCCAUGUGGACGAGAUGAAGAUAGAAGAAGCUACUAUGUUUGUCUCCAUCCCUCCGCCAACCUAUGUGUAGCAUGUUUUUAUGGGCUUCACUAUGUUGGAGCCAUUUUAUUUUACCCCAUUAAACCCGUGGAGAAGCCCUGUUGAACGGGACCUUAAAAACAGCUUCAAGGAUGGUUGCAGUGUAGCAACCGCCACCAAAAAUAAGUUUACAUACAACCGGCCUUGAAAAUAGAUUUUGUAGGGAAGUUUUUCUAUUGCAACUGACGUUGAUAUCUCAAUGGAGCCGUCCCUAUAAAUGCUUUUGCCGGGGCAGUUAGAAGCCCCACACUACAAACGCCCAUCUUUACAAUCGAUAGCAUAGUUGUCGUUUAUUGCACCAUCCAUAUUUUGACCGACUCUAAAAAUUUUUUGUGUACUAGUGUUGAUCUGGAACCUGUGGAAUCAAGGUGUGCUCCUGUAACCUUUUGUGAGGGUCCAUUCACUACUGGAAACUGGGAGUUUGCCUAGUACCAAAUGUCGAACACUCGGCAAAGAAAAACACUGGGCAAAGAAUGCGCUUGGCAAAUUCCGGCACUCGGCAAAGGUAAUCUAUGCCGAGCAUCAGGCACUCGGCAAAGCCAGACCCUCGGCAAAGAUGGUUGUAGGUGACGGACGUCAGUCUUUGCCGAGUGUUCCCUGUCUAACACU